rnacentral:rRNA from 1 species
CAAGGAAUCGUGCACAAUGGGCGAAAGCCUGAUGCCGCGACGCCGCGUGAGGGAUGACGGCUCUCGAGUUGUAAACCUCUUUUCUCAGGGAAGAGUAAGGACGUUACCUGAGGAAUAAGCCACGGCUAACUACGUGCCAGCAGCCGCGGUAACACGUAGGUGGCAAGCGUUGUCCGGAAUUACUGGGCGUAAAGGGUCCGUAGGCGGUCCGGAAAGUCUUCUGUGAAAUCUCCAGGCUCAACUUGGAGCCGUCGGGAGAUACUUCCGGACUAGAGACUGUCAGAGGCAGGUGGAAUUCCCGGUGUAGUGGUGAAAUACGUAGAUAUCGGGAGGAACACCAGUGGCGAAAGCGGCCUGCUGGGGCAGUUCUGACGCUGAGGGACUAAAGCGUGGGGAGCGAACCGGAUUAGAUACCCGUGUAGUCC